GUCCCGAAUCCAUCAAGAAAACAAUCCGUUUUUUCCACUUAACGACUUCCAUUUGGGAGGGAUCCUUUGGCCGUGAUGAUGGGUUGACCGGGCAGCCACGGAAGCCCUCACCCAGGAAAGCAGAGAGUUGUUUGCUUGUUUACAGCGAAGGUUCCCACUUUAGUUCCAGCCCACUGCCUGGGUUGGAAGUCCAAGAGGAAACUCUGGGAGUUCUCCGGGAGGCUGACUUAUACUUCCUUACGGAUGCGGGAGACCGGGGCUGUUCAGUCUUCGCAUUUUUGCAGUCUUGGUUAGGGAGGCCUACAGUGCUGACUUUUCUGUGAAUUAUUCUGAUGAACCCAAUGAGGAGCUAUUGGGAUGAAAACACUCCAAUGAAGACAAUUGUUGCAGGAAAGAUGUGGGUACCCCAGGAGGGAAUAACGGAACGCCUCGUUUCCUUGGGCUAAAAGCCACGAAGAAGGGUUUCUUGUCUUCUGCAGCUACUGACUUUGGGCUGAGCGUUACGGAGUCCCUUUCGCAGCUGCUGGUGAAUUUUAGAUUACCUUCACUGACAGCAACUAAAAACAACUAUAACCCUAAACCCGGUGACUCUAGUUUCCUAGCCAUUGUACAGUAGUUCCCAAACUUCAACGUGCAUCUGAAGCACCUAGCAGGCUGAUUGCUAGGCCCCACUCCAGAGUUUGUGAUUCGUUACAUUUUAACAAGUCCCUAGGUGCUGGGGAUGCCGCUGGUACCGGAUCACACCCUGGGAACCACAGCCUAGAACAACGGAAGUGCCUGUAAAAUAGGUUGUGUGCGUCCGUCCGUGUGUUUAUCAUCAGAAACUGUCCUGCACACCCAGUCUCACAACUCCACUUUUGAUAGCCACCUCAAUAAACAAAACAGU